rnacentral:rRNA from 1 species
GAUGAACGCUGGCGGCGUGCCUAAUACAUGCAAGUCGAGCGAAUGGAUUAAGAGCUUGCUCUUAUGAAGUUAGCGGCGGACGGGUGAGUAACACGUGGGUAACCUGCCCAUAAGACUGGGAUAACUCCGGGAAACCGGGGCUAAUACCGGAUAACAUUUUGAACCGCAUGGUUCGAAAUUGAAAGGCGUCUUCGGCUGUCACUUAUGGAUGGACCCGCAUCGCAUUAGCUAGUUGGUGAGGUACCGGCUCACCAAGGCAACGAUGCGUAGCCGACCUGAGAGGGUGAUCGGCCACACUGGGACUGAGACACGGCCCAGACUCCUACGGGAGGCAGCAGUAGGGAAUCUUCCGCAAUGGACGAAAGUCUGACGGAGCAACGCCGCGUGAGUGAUGAAGGCUUUCGGGUCGUAAAACUCUGUUGUUAGGGAAGAACAAGUGCUAGUUGAAUAAGCUGACACCUUGACGGUACCUAACCAGAAAGCCACGGCUAACUACGUGCCAGCCGCCGCAGUAA